UAUGGCCAUAUCACGUUGAAACACCCAGUUCACAUCUGAUCAUCAAAGUUAAGCAAUAUCAAGCCUAGCCAGUAUGAAGAUGGGUGACUAGUUGGGAAUAAUAGGUGCUGUAA